AUGUCCCGUCUCAUGAGGGACAUGGAGUCCGAAGAUCCCGCGUUCCUGGUGGGCCCCUCUGCUACUCGCCGUCAGCAUUUGCUGUCAGGUGGCUUUGGCUGGAGCCCCUUCCUCGGCAUCGCAGAUGGCAUCACAGCUGCAGGGUGCAGGCUGGGGCUGUCUCCCCCUUGGGGAUGCUGGAAACGUCGGGUGGCUUCGUGGACAUGCUUGGGAUGAUGAACGACAUGACUGAUGGAACACAUGACAGCUGGAGGCUCUUGCCAGACCGUUUCAUCCUCCGCUGCCAUCUCCUACUCCAGCGCGGGAGAGGGUGUCCCCACGGUCUACCAAGGGACAUCAGAGACGCAGUCGCACCGGCGGGGCCCAGGCCACGCGGGGGACUGACAGGGAUUCGGGCGGUGGCCUGGAGAGGACUGGGACUGGAGGAGCGGCAGGGCCACAACAAUCCGGGUGCGAGUGAGGCCGCGGCGUUUGCCGCUGGGGGACGGAGGCUGGCUUCCUGCUCCCGCAGCAGCAGCGCCCUCUGGCAUUUCCACCGUCAGAGGCAUGGGGUGGUGGGGACGAAGGACUCAGGAGCCUCUCCGCCUGGACUUACAGGGACCCCAGGACUCCCGCUCCCGAAGGUCCCGCCGC
rnacentral:lncRNA from 1 species